rnacentral:tRNA from 1 species
GCCUUUAUGGUGUAAUGGUCAGUACACUUGACACAUAUUGAGGGGUCCGAGGUUCGAGUCCCGGUGAUGGCA